rnacentral:rRNA from 1 species
UACAGAGGGUGCAAGCGUUAAUCGGAGUUACUGGGCGUAAAGGGCGCGUAGGCGGUUAUUUAAGUUGGAUGUGAAAUCCCUGGGCUUAACCUAGGAACUGCAUUCGAAACUGGGUAACUGGAGUACUGUAGAGGGUAGUGGAAUUUCCGGUGUAGCGGUGAAAUGCGUAGAGAUCGGAAGGAACACCAGUGGCGAAGGCGGCUACCUGGACAGAUACUGACGCUGAGGCGCGAGAGCGUGGGGAGAAAACAGG